UACGAAGGGGGCUAGCGUUGCUCGGAAUCACUGGGCGUAAAGGGUGCGUAGGCGGGUCUUUAAGUCAGGGGUGAAAUCCUGGAGCUCAACUCCAGAACUGCCUUUGAUACUGAAGAUCUUGAGUUCGGGGAGAGGUGAGUGGAACUGCGAGUGUAGAGGUGAAAUUCGUAGAUAUUCGCAAGAACACCAGUGGCGAAGGCGGCUCACUGGCCCGAUACUGACGCUGAUGCACGAAAGCGUGGGGAGCAAACAGG
rnacentral:rRNA from 1 species